rnacentral:rRNA from 1 species
GAGUUUGAUCAUGGCCAGGACGACCGCUGGCGGCGUGCUUAACACAUGCAAGUCGAACGAUGACCCACUUCGGUGGGGAUUAGUGGCGAACGGGUGAGUAACCCGUGGGCAAUCUGCCCUGCACUCUGGGACAAGCCCUGGAAACGGGGUCUAAUACCGGAUACAACCACUGACCGCAUGGUCGGGUGGUGGAAAGCUCCGGCGGUGCAGGAUGAGCCCGCGGCCUAUCAGCUUGUUGGUGAGGUAGUGGCUCACCAAGGCGACGACGGGUAGCCGGCCUGAGAGGGCGACCGGCCACACUGGGACUGAGACACGGCCCAGACUCCUACGGGAGGCAGCAGUGGGGAGUAUUGCACAAUGGGCGAAAGCCUGAUGCAGCGACGCCGCGUGAGGGAUGACGGCCUUCGGGUUGUAAACCUCUUUCAGCAGGGAAGAAGCGAAAGUGACGGUACCUGCAGAAGAAGCGCCGGCUAACUACGUGCCAGCAGCGCGGUAA